rnacentral:rRNA from 1 species
UAAGGAAUAUUGGUCAAUGGACGAAAGUCUGAACCAGCCAUGCCGCGUGGAGGAUGAAGGUCCUCUGGAUUGUAAACUUCUUUUAUAUGGGACGAAAAAAGGGCUUUCUAGCUCGUCUGACGGUACCAUAUGAAUAAGCACCGGCUAACUCCGUGCCAGCAGCCGCGGUAAUACGGAGGGUGCAAGCGUUAUCCGGAUUCACUGGGUUUAAAGGGUGCGUAGGUGGGUUGGUAAGUCAGUGGUGAAAUCCCCGAGCUUAACUUGGGAACUGCCAUUGAUACUAUCAGUCUUGAAUACCGUGGAGGUCAGCGGAAUAUGUCAUGUAGCGGUGAAAUGCUUAGAUAUGACAUAGAACACCAAUUGCGAAGGCAGCUGGCUACUCGGAUAUUGACACUGAGGCACGAAAGCGUGGGGAUCAAACA